AAAAACAUAACUGUAUGAAUAUACAUAUAGCUAUUUCUGCUCAAUGAAGUGUUAAAUAGCCGCAGUAAUUUGACUGUGCAAAGGUAGCAUAAUCAGUUGGCUUAUAAUUGAAGUCUGGUAUGAAGGAAUUCAUGGGGGGUGACUGUAUCAUAAUUGUUUAUGAAAUUAAUUAUUGGGUGAAAAUGCCCUUUUAAAAAUAAUAGACGAGAAGACCCUAGAAAUUUUUAGGAUAUAUGUGAUUAAUUGUUUUUGUUGGGGCGACAUUGUAGCAAUUAACCUACUUUAACUUAUAUAUGAUUAUUAUAAUAAGAAUAAUUAAAUUACUCUAGGGAUAACAGCAUAAUAUUAUAAAGUUUGUGACCUCGAUGUUGGACUAGGGAAUAUAAGCCCAGAAGGCAAAAUAUUGUGCUCUGUUCGAGCAGUUAACCCUACGUGAUCUG
rnacentral:rRNA from 1 species